rnacentral:rRNA from 1 species
GUGGGGAAUAUUGGACAAUGGGCGCAAGCCUGAUCCAGCCAUGCCGCGUGAGUGAUGAAGGCCCUAGGGUUGUAAAGCUCUUUCACCGGAGAAGAUAAUGACGGUAUCCGGAGAAGAAGCCCCGGCUAACUUCGUGCCAGCAGCCGCGGUAAUACGAAGGGGGCUAGCGUUGUUCGGAAUUACUGGGCGUAAAGCGCACGUAGGCGGACAUUUAAGUCAGGGGUGAAAUCCCGGGGCUCAACCCCGGAACUGCCUUUGAUACUGGGUGUCUGGAGUAUGGAAGAGGUAAGUGGAAGUCCGAGUGUAGAGGUGAAAUUCGUGGAUAUUCGGAGGAACACCAGUGGCGAAGGCGGCUUACUGGUCCAUUACUGACGCUGAGGUGCGAAAGCGUGGGGAGCAAACAGGAUUAGAAACCCGUGUAGUCC